rnacentral:rRNA from 1 species
AUUGAACGCUGGCGGCAUGCUUUACACAUGCAAGUCGAACGGCAGCGCGGGCUUCGGCCUGGCGGCGAGUGGCGAACGGGUGAGUAAUGCAUCGGAACGUGCCCAGUAGUGGGGGAUAGCCCAGCGAAAGCCGGAUUAAUACCGCAUACGACCUGAGGGUGAAAGCGGGGGACCGAAAGGCCUCGCGCUAUUGGAGCGGCCGAUGUCGGAUUAGCUAGUUGGUGGGGUAAAGGCUUACCAAGGCGACGAUCCGUAGCUGGUCUGAGAGGACGACCAGCCACACUGGGACUGAGCCACGGCCCAGACUCCUACGGGAGGCAGCAGUGGGGAAUUUUGGACAAUGGGGGCAACCCUGAUCCAGCCAUGCCGCGUGCGGGAAGAAGGCCUUCGGGUUGUAAACCGCUUUUGUUCGGGAAGAAAUCCUCUGGGCUAAUACCCCGGGGGGAUGACGGUACCGGAAGAAUAAGCACCGGCUAACUACGUG